rnacentral:rRNA from 1 species
UACGUAGGGUGCAAGCGUUAAUCGGAAUUACUGGGCGUAAAGCGUGCGCAGGCGGCUUUGCAAGACAGAUGUGAAAUCCCCGGGCUCAACCUGGGAACUGCAUUUGUGACUGCAUGGCUGGAGUGCGGCAGAGGGGGAUGGAAUUCCGCGUGUAGCAGUGAAAUGCGUAGAUAUGCGGAGGAACACCGAUGGCGAAGGCAAUCCCCUGGGCCUGCACUGACGCUGAGGAGCGAAAGCGUGGGUAGCGAACAGG